ensembl:Y_RNA Y_RNA Y RNA
GGCUGGUCCGAUGGUAGUGGGUUAUCAGAACUUAUUAACAUUAGUGUCACUAAAGUUGGUAUACAACCCCCCACUGCUAAAUUUGACUGGCUUUUU